rnacentral:rRNA from 1 species
UACGGAGGGUGCGAGCGUUGUCCGGAAUCAUUGGGCGUAAAGGGCGCGUAGGUGGCCCGGUCAGUUCGUGGUGAAAGCGCGGGGCUCAACUCCGCGUCGGCCAUGAAUACUGCUGGGCUGGAGCACUGUAGAGGCAGGCGGAAUUCCGGGGUGUAGCGGUGGAAUGCGUAGAGAUCCGGAAGAACACCGGUGGCGAAGGCGGCCUGCUGGGCAGUGGCUGACACUGAGGCGCGACAGCGUGGGGAGCAAACAGG